rnacentral:rRNA from 1 species
AUUGAACGCUGGCGGCAUGCCUUACACAUGCAAGUCGAACGGUAACAGGUUAAGCUGACGAGUGGCGAACGGGUGAGUAAUGUAUCGGAACGUGCCCAGUCGUGGGGGAUAACUACUCGAAAGAGUGGCUAAUACCGCAUACGACCUGAGGGUGUAAGCGGGGGACCGUAAGGCCUCGCGCGAUUGGAGCGGCCGAUAUCAGAUUAGCUAGUUGGUGGGGUAAAAGCCCACCAAGGCGACGAUCUGUAGCUGGUCUGAGAGGACGACCAGCCACACUGGGACUGAGACACGGCCCAGACUCCUACGGGAGGCAGCAGUGGGGAAUUUUGGAAAAUGGACGCAAGUCUGAGUCAGCCAUGCCGCGUGCGGGAAGAAGGCCUUCGGGUUGUAAACCGCUUUUGUCAGGGAAGAAACGAGUUUCUCUAAUACAGAGACUUAAUGACGGUACCUGAAGAAUAAGCACCGGCUAACUACGUGCCAGCCGCCGCGGUAAAAC